rnacentral:rRNA from 1 species
AUGCACAACUCCAAAAGUCCUGAAACUUCACGAAAGUCAGUUUUGGAUUAUAUAAAAAAUAUUGGGCGAAGAAAGGACUGGAGGGGGGCCACCCACCAUCCACGAGGGCGGGGGGCGUGCCCUAACCCUUGGGCGUGCCCCCUGUCUCAUGGGCCCCCUGGCAGGCCUUUGGUGCCCAUCUUUGGCUAUAUGGAGUCUUUCACGCCUGGAAAAAAUGAUAAGCAAGCUUUCGGGACAAAACACCGCCGCCAUGAGGCAGAACCUUGGCGAAACCAAUCUAGGGCUCUCGCUGAGUUGUUCUUCCGGGGAAACAUCCCUCCAGGAGGGGGAAAUCAUCAUCAUCGACCCUCUCAUCGGGAGGGGGUCAAUCUCCAUCAACAUCUUCACCAGCACCACCUCAUCUCAAACUCUAGUUCAUCUCUUGUAUUCAAUCUUUUGUCUCAAAACCUUAGAUUGGUACAUGUGGGUUGCUAG